AUUUUUGCCAACAGCCACUAGCGCCACUAGGGGCGCUGCGGUAGCGCUGCCGCCAUUUUGGACUGUUGCGCCCAGACAACAUGUGUGAUAUCAAGGAGAGAGGAGGAAAAAAAGUAAAAGAAAACAGUGUAGUGCAAUUAACUGCAACAACUAUCAGUGGCUUACGGGGUGAUUUUGAAGGAGUAAUUAAGUUAAUCUUCUCAUAAGUGGAUGUAAUAUGUAGAUAUGUAAUAUGUAGACUGCCAUUAAGUCUAUAUUUUGCUUUACAAAAACGUGAAAAAGAAGCUGUGACCAAGCUAUCACGAGGAUGGACACUAUGGCGACAAGCAUUCGUUGGGCCAGAGGGCGACUGUUGGAACCUGAAGUGCCCGAUGAAAUGCUUGGGCUCAUCGGCGAAUUAAUUCAGGAAGCCAACAGUGGUCAACAACAACAACAACCUGCUCUUCCUGGUUUCACUGUACCUCGACUGGGAGGACAGACUGGAAGACCAGUGUUCCAAAUAACGCACGAGCAGUUGCAGAUGUUGCUGUCCUUUAACUUCUCUGGAAACCAGAUUGCAGAAAUAUUAGGUGUAUCAAAAAGCACAGUCAAACGACGGUUAAGACAGUACAAUCUCUCAUUUAGAGGCCACUACACAGACCUAACUGACGAGGCACUGGAUCAGCGUGCGGGAGAUCGUCUCUGGCAAUGACGAAAUAAGACCAGAAGCUGUCAGGGCACGGCUUGUGGGUGAGGGCAUCAUAGUCCAGAGACACCGUGUGCGGCAAAGUGUCAUCAGGACUAAUCCUGAGGGCGCUGCUCUUCGGAGUAUGUCCCACAGGCUUCGCAGGAGAACAUACCACCUAGCAGGGCCAAAUUCGCUGUGGCAUAUUGAUGGCAACCACAAGCUCAUUAAGUAAGUUGCAAAUGAAGCUGUUUCACUCUGAUUUAUUUAUUUGCCCUAAAAGUGUCAGUAGCCAAUGUAAAGCUGACUAUCUGAUUUUAAAUGUUUUUCUUUGUGGUUUGUUUUUAAUGCACUAGAUCAUGUUGAGCUAUUAUAGCAAAUAGCCUUUUCCCCACUGUCCUUUGAGUUAAUAUCUUUAAUAUGUUAAUUUUUUCUCCCUCCCAUCUAUUCCUCCAUGGAUCACAAUCCUCCACCUAAAAAAAGGGUUGUGAUCCAUGGAGGAAUAGAUGGUUACAGCUGACUUCACUACAUCACUACCGUAAGAAACUACCGUAGGAAACCUCGGAGUAAUAUUUGAUCAAGAUUUGUCUUUUAAUUAUCAUUUAAAACAAACCUCACGGACUGCAUUUUUUCAUCUGCGUAAUAUUGCGAAAAUUAGGCCUAUCCUGACCUGAAAAGAUGCAGAAAAAUUGGUCCACGCUUUUGUUACCUCAAGGCUGGAUUACUGUAACUCUCUAUUAUCAGGUAGCUCUAGUAAGUCCUUAAAAACUCUCCAGCUAAUUCAGAAUGCAGCAGCACGUGUACUAACAGGAACUAAGAAACGCGAUCAUAUCUCUCCUGUUUUAGCUUCUCUGCACUGGCUCCCUGUAAAAUCCAGAAUUGAAUUUAAAAUCCUACUGUUAACUUAUAAAGCUCUAAAUGGUCAAGCUCCAUCAUAUCUUAGAGAGCUCAUAGUGCCUUAUUAUCCCACCAGAACACUGCGCUCUGAGAACGCAGGGUUACUCAUGGUCCCUAAAGUCUCCAAAAGUAAAUCAGGAGCCAGAGCCUUUAGCUAUCAGGCUCCUCUCCUGUGGAAUCAUCUUCCUGUUACGGUCCUGGAGGCAGACACCGUCUCCACAUUUAAGACUAGACUUAAGACUUUCCUCUUUGAUAAAGCUUAUAGUUAGGGCUGGCUCAGGCUUGUCCUGUACCAGCCCUUAGUUAGGCUGACUUAGGCCUAGUCUGCCGGAGGACCCCUCUAUAAUACACCAGGCCCCUUCUCUCCUUCUCUCUCUCUCUCUCCCGCAUCCUAUUACUGCAUCUAGCUAACCCGGCCAUUCUGGAUGUCACUAACUCGGCUUCUUCUCCGGAGCCUUUGUGCUCCACUGUCUCUCAGAUUAACUCAUACCGCAGCGGUGCCUGGACAGCGUGACGUGUGUGGUUGUGCUGCUGCCGUGGUCCUGCCAGAUGCCUCCUGCUGCUGCUGCCAUCAUUAGUCAUUAGUCAUACUUCUUCUGUUAUUAUACACAUAUGAUUAUUGUCACACAUGUAUACUGCCAGGUAUUAAUACAUACUUUCAACAUAUUGUACCGCAGUAACCAGAACUAUAACUAUAAUAUUAUUACUUUCAUUAAUGUUGUUGUAAGCUACUGUCAUUACCUGCAUCUCUCUCUCUCUCUCUCUCUCUCUCUCUCUCUCUCUCUGUCUCAUUGUGUCAUAUGGAUUACUGUUAAUUUAUUAUGCUGAUCUGUUCUGUACGACAUCUAUUGCACGUCUGUCCGUCCUGGAAGAGGGAUCCCUCCUCAGUUGCUCUUCCUGAGGUUUCUACCGUUUUUUUUUUCCCUGUUGAAGGGUUUUUUUUGGGGAGUUUUUCCUUAUCCGCUGUGAGGGUCUUAAGGACAGAGGGAUGUCGUAUGCUGUAAAGCCCUGUGAGGCAAAUUGUG